rnacentral:lncRNA from 1 species
AAGUCUUUAUGUGUUUGGUACAAAAAUAACUAAGUGAUUAAUUUUAAUCUAGGUUUCUGUGGCGGAACCACCCGAAUUAUUCCAGCUUAAGUGCCCAAGUCACACCUUAGAGGCAGCAACACACUUAAAUCGGAAUAACCCGUCAGUCCCUCAGAUCUAGUCUGAUAAAGCCACUUCCCAAGGAUCGAAUACCACUAGCUCACGCGAAGGUGAGGCACAAAGAGAAUACAAUAAAACAUGAAACCACAAAUUAAGGUACUAGAGUUAUUACAUAAAUAGGAGUUUUAAAUAAAAGGGAACUAGUUCAUAAUUAAAGUGCAGCGGAUAAUCGAUGACGUCGAAUACUGAGGAAUAGGGCAAGGCCUAUCCCCUCUCCUCCUGCUCCUCUCCUGUCGAGGCAGCAUCCCACUCAACCGUCCAACCCGGUGGCAGGGUAGAAGGCCAAGUCACACCAUCAACCAUAUCCUGUAGCGUACCUGAAAAAAAUAUGUCACAAGGAAGGUUGAGUAUACUAAUACUCAGCUAGACUUACCCGGUGUGAGGAGUCUACUCCUCUACCUCUAGACCAUGCAGCUGUUUGGCUGAGGGGUUUGGUUUGCCAAAAGCACUAGCUGAGUCUAAAAAAAUAGCUUUUCCACUUCUAGCAUAUUUAAUUUAGCUAGGAUUGCUCCUUUCUAAGCAUACAGGGUAACAAUCAUUUAGUGCAAACAACAUGUUAUCUCAAGUAAAACCUCGUUUCACUUAUUACUCGAUGCAGUACAAGGGGUCAAGCAGUCUCAUUAGCUGCGAGAAGCAGACAAUUCGAAUCGAGUUUUAACCUUGCAAGGUAAACCUAAACACACGACAUGUAGGGGCACUCCGUCCCCACACAUAUCAACCGUCCCCAUCGAUCCUCCGUUCGUGACCAGGGCUCACCGUCUUGGCAUACAAUGCUCCACUGACCCCGGCUGCCGCCGUGCAGUGGCCGCACUUGUACCCACCAUAGCUAGAAUGGGAGACCUAGUCUCAGGAUAAGUGAGGAGUAAAGUCCGAGCCUGACUUCACUCAGGUACUAGGCUUACCGGUUACCAUAUUUUCCGACAUGUGUUUAGUACUUUCAAAUGCUUGACUCAGGUAUCUGCACAUUAAUCCUUAAUUCGAUUUCCGUCUCAUAGACAAGGCAUCCACCCUGGAUCCAAGUCCAUAGACCAUCAUAGAUCCCGUUAUCAAGAUGAAUACAAUCAAUGUCUGACCUCGCGCGAGUGCUAGAAAAAUCACUCGACUUCUACUGAGAUCCUGAUUAGCAAAGCAGCUACACGACCUAGCAUGCUAGUAUCCAUCUCGAAAAGGAAUCUUGAGUUCAUGCAACUAAGAGUUUCAAACAACUCCUACACUUAAGUGCACAUUACAAACCUACAAACAUUAAGUGUAGUAAAGUAGCAUAUAUAAACGGUUAUGCAUAAAAUCGAGGCUUGCCUUCAAAAGCUGAGGCUGCGAGGAGAUCCUCGGUGGCAGGCUCGGGAGUUGGCUCCUGGGCUUCCUUUUGGACAGCUCCUUGCUCGGGAAUGAGCACGCACUCUCCGUCAGCGAGGUUGAAAUCUAAUGAAUGCAAUGAGUAACAUACAUGUAUGCCAUGAUAUGCAAUUUAGUAAUGAUAAUGUAUGGUGAAAUGAUUAAGUUAAUAAGGUAAAGCUUAAUCUUACUACUGGGAGUUCUAGUGGUAUACUUAGCCAUUUAAAGUCAAGUAUGGUCAAGUUUAAGUGGUCAAAUUAUUUUGGUGUCCCACUGAUUUUCUUUAGUGUCUUAGUGAAAGGUUUUAUCAAGAUUCUUGCUAAAAUCAUUAUGGGUGAGGUAUAUUACCUUUGUUAAUUUCCUCUUUCCCCUUUUUCCAUUUAUGUGUUUUGAAGUAGGUUUGAACUACAAUAUAGCUUUAAAAAUUUCCAAACAUUCUAUAAAAAUUACAGUGGCUUUUCACUGGUAUAUAAUCUUCAGUUUCAAAAAUUGAGGCUUAAAAUGGUAAGGGUUCUCUCUGUACAAAAAUAUUAAAAUUUAGAGCCGAGGAGGUGCUUUGAACUGCAACUCCUUUUUAACAGUGGAUUUUUCUCUGAGGUUUAUUUUUGCUGACAUUUAGGUGCAAUAACAAGACCUUGUACCAAGUUUUAGCCAAUGAUACCUACUGGUCAUUUUAUUGUGAUUUUCUAAAGUUUUAGGGUUUAAUGGUGCAUUCUAUUACUACUAUAAUUGAAAAAUGUCAAAUAACAGAUUUACUAAUUUUUCCAUCUUCUUCUUUGCGCAAGAACAAUCAUUCUAGAAGUUGGCUAAUUUUGCUCAAAGGGAAGGGGUGGUAGAAUUUCUUCGAAUAUAUGGCCUUUUUCAUAGGGUAGGGGGUAAUGUGUGUUACAUCACAUUUUUAUUUUAGUUUCAUAUUUUUCUCUGGUGGUUUACAUCAUAAGUAAUUGGAUAAAAAUUUGCUUGCUCAUUGUUUCAUACUUUUAGCCUUUCUUUUGAUUUAAUUGAAGUAUUAGCUAAAUUUAAGUUCUAUUUGUUUAACUCACUUACCGUGAUGGUGUGGGGUGUUUACCUUUUUUAUAGUGGUAGACUAGUAGUUAGAGGUCUACUAGAUUUUUCUUGCCAUUAUUGUAUUUGUCCUUAUAUUUUUAAUCAUGGCUUUUCUUGAUUUCUUAGUGCCUAUUAAAAGUUAUAACAUUAGAUUAUCUGUAGACUAGGGUUCCAUAUAUUUUUCUUAUGUUCUUUAUCACUCAGGUAUACUAGGAAAAAUAUGGUCAUCCUCUGGUCUUUAUUUUCUAUUACCUUUCUUAUUUUUCUAAGGUUUGGGCAUAAACAACUUUUAAUGGACAUUCCUGGUUUAUUCUUGUAAACUGGGGUGCUUAGUAUUUUUAAACAAUGUAUAUGUUAGGUAAGUAUCUCUACAAUUUUUCUCCAGACCAGUAUAGAAGUAUUUCUAUUUUUCUCUGUAUUAAUAAAGUUUGGAUAGUUUUCUUAUUUAAUUUAAGCUCUAAAAUUUAGUACCAAAAGCAUGGAGUUUACUAAUUUUGUUUCAUAGUGCAUAAAUCACAGAGUCUAACAAAAUUUGUUCGACUAAAUUUGGAUAAGUAUUUCUUAAGUUAUGCAAUUAACUAAUUUAUUGCAGAUUUAAAGAAUUGAAUUUUAAAAUGGAAAAGGAAUUUCCACUUUGCGCUAGGGUCCCUGGUAAAAUUUUCCUGCGUUCCUUACAAACUAGUCCUCGGUCUACUAUUCCACUGAGUCUCUGACAAUGCAGAAAACCCCCUAGGGUAACCCUAAAUCAACCCCGCGGUCCUUCCCCUAUUGGAACAGUACCCGCGGAGGAGGAAAGGGCGAAGGGGCUUACCGGCGGCGAGAUAGCUUCGGUGAGGCAUCCAGGGAGGUCAGGGAAGUUACGGCGGUCACGUCGAGGUACGGGUCGGCGUCGGAGGUGGUCGGAGUCGGCUGGUCCACGUGCGCAGGCGGGGGGAGUUCGUCGGCGGCGGGUGCUCCAGCGUGCUCACGGCGAGAUAGUUCAAUUGGUUGGUUCGUGAGGCUCGACCAAGUGAUGCAGAGGCGGUACACGUGAGGAAUUGGAAAAUGGCGUAGAGACUUACCCGGUCCACAUUCGCCGGUGAGCGGAAGAAGUCCGGCGAGUGAUUCGAGGUCUCUGGCGAGGUUCUACUGGGUUUGAGGGCUUGGGGAGCUUCACGGGUCUCUGGUGAAGCUAACCGACCUGCUAUCGUGGACUGGGAAUGGCUGGGGUGGGCUGGCCACGGUGGCCGAAGCUCGGGUGGCUUGGCGGAUGGUGGCGCUUGCUCUCUUCGGCGAUCUCCGGUGAUCUCCGUCUUGGACGAGAGUGAGAGUGUGCGAGGGGAUACGGCUCAGGUCGUGGGGGCACUUAUAGGCGGGGCGAGGCAUAGGUGCGCGGGGAGGGGCGACCACGCGUGGGGGCGCGCGUUGCUGCGGCCAGUCCGCGCUCGGCUGGCCUGACACGGCGUUGAGCACGUGGCUCUUUGCUUCUGCCCGAGUUUAAACGUCCAUAGGUUGCAAAUCUUCGCGUAUUUUGGCAUGAUCACUAUACAAGAUAUGCUCCCCCGACGUAGCUUUGUCACUUAUGUGUGGAAGUUGAGCGGUUUGGGUCGUGUAGAGUGAGUUGUCGCGUCGCCAAGGUGUCAGUGUCUCAUGGCCGCGUCCCGAGGUAAAUCUAUGCCAAGAUUAUGUCAAACGGCUGAGAAAGGUUUCCAAACUUCGCCAGGGUGUGUUCAAGGAAAUUUGGCGCCACUUUGAUAUUUGGACAAAGUGGAUUUUAUUUUUUGAAUUAUGAGAACACAGCUGAUCUUUGCGAAGAGGUCAAAUUUCAGAAUUUUGGAUUUUCUGAAUUUCCUAUAGAGGUUUUACUUAAGGGGCUGUUUUGGGAAUUUUGCAAAAUCCCAAUGAUCAAUCUCCCUUACUACAUUGUAGUUCAUUUAGUGUACUAUGACUUUGUUAAUUGGUGCACAUUAAGAUUUUAUUUUUUUCAUAGUCUUUUCACUAAUUUCCUUUUGUGCUUAAAUGACCUAAUUUGGGUAGUGUUAGGGUUUUGAACAAUUUUCUCACUUGAGGUGCAUGAUGUGUUUAGAGUAUGGUUCUUGAGAUGAAAAAGACUUAGCUUAGGUUUUAAUUCCUUAAGUUUUGGUGCCUCUUGCUUAAUUAAAAUCACAUGUGAUAAUGGUCACAAGUUGGGUACUGGGGAAAACCCCUGAGUAACACUGGGGUGUUACAUUUUCAUGAUAAAUCAUAGUUAUUAAAUGAUAAACAAGAUUAAAACAAAAUUAUUGCAACUGGAAUGAAUUAAAAAGGAGUUAAAAUGAAAUUUCUAGGAAUUAAACAAGAUUCUGUAAUUAUUUUUACACUAAAAAUCAUUUUCUAUAUUAAUUCCUCUGAUUUAUUAACUUUCUGUACUGCGCUCAUAAAUACCAGGGAGUUCAGGGGCUGGUUUACAAGAAUCCAGGGUCUGUAUGUAAUUAAUUUGCACAGGGUGUAGACUCGGGUUGAUUUGCUCGAUUCCUAGGGUCUAUUACGCAAAAUGCCUAGGCCGAAGGGGUAUCAUUCGGCCAGGAUCGUUCGAUCAGAAAGCAACCGCCAGGAUUUGAUCCCCCAAUAACUGAACCGGUGUCUAAUUCCACCCGUGGGAAUAGACAUCCACGGCCCAGAUCACUUCUGUGAAACAGCAACACAUUUCCCUCGCCACAACCAUUCACACCUGGAUCAACGACUACGAUGCAAUGAACCGGGAUCUAAUCUAGCGCGUCCAUCUUUCAAACUACGGCUACAUUUCACUUGUCUAUCCGGCCUCGUCUAUUCAAUCAAGACCGUCCGUUGAAUCCAACGGUUGAUCACAAUCUCCCCUACCCGGUCAAACACCGGCGGCGGAACAGAACACCACGGCGGUGCGCCAUGUCGAGAAUCCCAUACUGGGCCACGGCUCACGAUUACCCGAUACGCUAGGUGCUAGUCGAAGGUAAGACGACGGCGGAUCCAGGAAGAAGGUUCUUACUCGCGAUUGGCUUGAUGACGAGCCUGUCCACAGAGCGGAGCGACUUCACGACGGAAAGCAAUGUCCGGCGAGGAAUUGCCGUUGAUUUGAGUCCUUCCGAGGCGAUACCUUCCCCGCACCCUAUGCUUUCCCUUCUCUUUUUCC